AUACGUAGGGGGCGAGCGUUGUCCGGAAUGAUUGGGCGUAAAGGGCGCGUAGGCGGCCCGGUAAGUCUGGAGUGAAAGUCCUGUUUUUAAGAUGGGAAUUGCUUUGGAUACUGUCGGGCUUGAGUGCAGGAGAGGGAAGUGGAAUUCCCAGUGUAGCGGUGACAUGCGUAGAGAUUGGGAGGAACACCAGUGGCGAAGGCGACUUACUGGACUGUAACUGACGCUGAGGCGCGAAAGUGUGGGGAGCAAACAGGAUUAGAUACCCUGGUAGUCCACACUGUAAACGAUGAAUGCUAGGUGUAGGGGGUAUCGACCCCUUCUGUGCCGCAGUCAACACAAUAAGCAUUCCGCCUGGGGAGUACGGCCGCAAGGUUGAAACUCAAAGGAAUUGGCGGGG
rnacentral:rRNA from 1 species